rnacentral:rRNA from 1 species
UAUAGAGUAGCACUCGCAUAUCAAUAAGCGGAGGAAAAGAAACUAACAGGAUUCCCCUAGUAACGGCGAGUGAAGCGGGAAGAGCUCAAAUUUGAAAUCUUAAAGGGUUUCCCUUUACGAAUUGUAGUUUAAAGAAGUGUUUUCUGUUGAGGUUUUGGUAAAAGUUCUUUGGAAUAGGACAUCAUAGAGGGUGAGAAUCCCGUAUUUGACCUUUACUUUCAACUUUGUGAUACACUUUCAAAGAGUCGGAUUGUUUGGGAAUGCAGUCCAAAAUGGGUGGUAAAUUUCAUCUAAAGCUAAAUAUUGGCGAGAGACCGAUAGCGAACAAGUACCGUGAGGGAAAGAUGAAAAGAACUUUGAAAAGAGAGUUAAACAGUACGUGAAAUUGUCAAAAGGGAAGCGUUUGACACCAGUGUUGUUUUUCUGAAAAUCAAUUAAAGAACUGUUUAUGCUAAGUUGUUUAGACUUUAUCAGCUAUCUGUUUAGUUUUGAGCUUUUCUUUAAUGCACUUUUCAGUUAACAAGUCAACAUCAAUUUCUUUUGCUGUAAAAAAGCUUGAGGAAGGUGGCUUGAGAUUCGUCUUAAGUGUUUAUAGCCUCUUGCCUAUGCAGUCGGAGAGAUUGAGGUCUGCAGCGUAGAUCCUUCGGGGCUAAAUGCAUUUGUGCUAAGUUAUAGCAUUUUAUAGACAACUUGUUGACUAUGAUUUGUCUUGUAGCUUACUCGCUUAUGUUAUUUUACCUACGCUUAGGAUGUUGAGCGCAUGUCUCUCUCU